rnacentral:rRNA from 1 species
UAAUACGGAGGGUGCAAGCGUUGCUCGGAAUUACUGGGCGUAAAGCGUACGCAGGCGGCCAAUUAAGUCGGGUGUGAAAGCCCUGGGCUCAACCCAGGAACUGCAUUCGAAACUGGUUGGCUUGAGUGUGAGAGAGGGAAGUGGAAUUCCAGGUGUAGAGGUGAAAUUCGUUGAUAUCUGGAGGAACACCGGCGGCGAAGGCGGCUUCCUGGCUCACAACUGACGCUCAUGUACGAAAGCGUGGGUAGCAAACAGGAUUAGAUACCCUGGUAGUCCACGCCGUAAACGAUGUUUGCUAGGUGUUGGUGGAAUUUACCCCAUCAGUGCCGCAGUUAACGCAUUAAGCAAACCGCCUGGGGAGUACGGUCGCAAGAUUA